rnacentral:tRNA from 1 species
AAGUCUGAAGUAAAGUUUACAGUUAGUUUCGGCCUAAAAGUUGAUCUUAAAAGAUCCAGUCUUU